rnacentral:rRNA from 1 species
GUCGAGCGAACGGACGAGAAGCUUGCUUCUCUGAUGUUAGCGGCGGACGGGUGAGUAACACGUGGAUAACCUACCUAUAAGACUGGGAUAACUUCGGGAAACCGGAGCUAAUACCGGAUAAUAUUUUGAACCGCAUGGUUCAAAAGUGAAAGACGGUCUUGCUGUCACUUAUAGAUGGAUCCGCGCUGCAUUAGCUAGUUGGUAAGGUAACGGCUUACCAAGGCAACGAUGCAUAGCCGACCUGAGAGGGUGAUCGGCCACACUGGAACUGAGACACGGUCCAGACUCCUACGGGAGGCAGCAGUAGGGAAUCUUCCGCAAUGGGCGAAAGCCUGACGGAGCAACGCCGCGUGAGUGAUGAAGGUCUUCGGAUCGUAAAACUCUGUUAUUAGGGAAGAACAUAUGUGUAAGUAACUGUGCACAUCUUGACGGUACCUAAUCAGAAAGCCACGGCUAACUACGCGCCAGCAGCCGCGGUAAUACGUAGGUGGCAAGCGAUAUCCGGAAUUAUUGGGCGUAAAGCGCGCGUAGGCGGUUUUUUAAGUCUGAUGUGAAAGCCCACGGCUCAACCGUGGAGGGUCAUUGGAAACUGGAAAACUUGAGUGCAGAAGGGGAAAGUGGAAUUCCAUGUGUAGCGGUGAAAUGCGCAGAGAUAUGGAGGUACACCAGUGGCGAAGGCGACUUUCUGGUCUGUAACUGACGCUGAUGUGCGAAA